CCCUUUUUUGGAACCAAGCCCU
rnacentral:miRNA from 1 species